rnacentral:rRNA from 1 species
AUGAGCGCUAGCGACAGGCCUAACACAUGCAAGUCGAGGGGCAGCACAAGGAGCAAUCUGAGGUGGCGACCGGCGCACGGGUGAGUAACACGUAUGCAACCUGCCUGUAAGCGGGGAAUAACCCGUUGAAAGACGGACUAAUACCGCAUAAUACUAAAUUACUGCAUGGUAAUUUAUUUAAACAUUUAUGGCUUACAGAUGGGCAUGCGCAUGAUUAGCUAGUUGGAGAGGUAACGGCUCCCCAAGGCAACGAUCAUUAGGGGUUCUGAGAGGAAGGUCCCCCACACUGGUACUGAGACACGGACCAGACUCCUACGGGAGGCAGCAGUGAGGAAUAUUGGUCAAUGGACGAGAGUCUGAACCAGCCAAGUCGCGUGCAGGAAGAAUGUCCUAAUGGAUUGUAAACUGCUUUUGCAGGGGAAUAAAGUGCAUCACGUGUGAUGUUUUGUAUGUACUCUGCGAAUAAGGAUCGGCUAACUCCGUGCCAGCAGCCGC